CUUGAACUUGUCAGUUUUAUACUUCUACUCACUUCUACUUACUGCGGGUUAUGCAUCUUAAUUUACAUACCUGAAUUAUGUUAUUUAGGAAAAUGAAAUAGGUACCAAAAAAGUACACUUUUCAGUUUGGCACCUAAUAUUAUGAGUCCAUAAGGCAUGUAGAAUGUAUAUUAGGAAAGAAGAGAGGAAACAUAUGCGAUUUCUCUUACAUUGUUGAAAGAGAUCAUUAGGGGAUCAAUGUUAAUUUUCUAGGAAUUUCUUUAUGCUGAUAAGAACACGAACACUGUUGUCUCAAAGGGUGUUCAAGGAGCU
rnacentral:lncRNA from 1 species